UAGUUGUGAGCCACUAUGUGAGUGCUGGGAACUGAACUUUGAUCCUCUACAAGAGCAGCCAGUGUUGUUAACAACUGAUCCAUCUCUCCAUACCCUGAAGAGGAGCUUAUAACCCUGCUUCACAAACACACCCACCUAUGACUUCACUUAUAGGACUACAUUCCUUUCCUUUCAGAAAUGCUAGCAUGCUGGUGUCUGCUCCACAGAUUCAGCUUCCCAGACAGGUAAUGGAGCAAUAUCAGGAGUUUUUACCUGCCCAUCAGGCAAAUAAGGAGCUAUUGUAGGAGGCAAAGUGGAAAGGGGGAACUGGUGGAAUGCUAACUAAGCAGUCACAUCAGAAGCCAUAAGGUCAGAAAGAACACCUACAAUUCAGAGAGGGAGAAGUUGAUUGCUGAUCAGCAUGUUAUCCAGUUGCCUACAUCCCUGUUUCUCUGGACAUCUGGAGUUGUGCUGAAUUACUUGGGCAUUCCUGAAGGCUGCUGAACCUGGUUAGAGACCAGCACUCCUAGUUUUGCCAAUUAGAGCUUUGACCUUGUCUUUCUCUCCUGCCUUAGUACGUCCUGGUGUUUCCAUUACUUGAGGCUUUUUGACUGUCUGUAGCCUGACUUGGACCCCAUUGUGUAGACUAGAAAUGACAAAUGCAUCCUAAAAUUCAAUGGAAAUGCCAGGGACCCAGAAUAGCCAGAGAAAAGGUGGAGGACCAAACUUCUUGAUUCAAGACUUUGCAAAGCUACCACAGUACAAAUGGUGUGGUAUUGGCACAAGAACACAGGCACAUAGGUAACCUCGUGGUUCAAAAUGACUGCUGGGAAUAUACCCAUCUCAUCCCUUCCAGGCAAGACAUAUGAGAAGGGCAGUGAGUGACUAAAAGUUCUAUAAAGACAGCCUCCUUUACAGGUACUCAGUUUCUGUGGCCCUCUCUGGAACCUCUCUGGGACCAUCCUUGUCAGCAGGCCUUUCCCAGUGUAACUCACCCACAUUGCUGUUCCUGGGAAGAUGAGGGAAGGGAACAAUGCUUUAUUCUAGCAUGGUAGAAGGACAAGCAACUUUCUUAUCCUUCUGAGACAGAAACUGCUGGCUCGAUGACCUGUGAGGGCUAUUUCUGCAUGUACACUCCAUCUUUUCUCAAGGCUUCUCUGUAGGUAAGAGCUGACUCAGACUGCAGAGCCUUUACAGCUGAAGGUCCCUCUCCUCUGAGAUGGACAGUACCACCUAGCAGUAUGCUUGCCCAGGCAACAUGAACCAGGUCAAAAGUAACCGAGAACUGUUCCUACAAUACUCAGCCACAGCCCCCAAACUGCUGGCCCACGUCUCCAAACUCCUCAUUGUCUGCCGAAACUCAGGCAUUGCCAUCCCCAAAGGCAUCAGGAAUAUCUUUGAGUUCACCUGGGAGGAACUCAUCUGUGACCCUGCAGUGCCCACCCCAUCUGAUAUCCAGGAUCUGGUGAUCAGCUUUGGAACUCCUACAGUGGUGCUUGCAGAGGUGAUCCCAGUGCAGGUCCCCUUGCAGAAGAAGCCACCCCCACCACCUCCACCACCACCAGUACUGCUGACAACCCCCAGCGGGGGCAAGCACUCGACCCCCACUCCUGCCUCUACUCGACUGGUGCCCACUGGUCAAGAUACCCUGCACAAGUUCCAGCGGCAAUCCAUCCACCUGCUGACAGAGCUGCUUUCCCUGAAGAUGAAGGCCAUGGUGGAGUCUGCCUCUGCAGGUGCCAAUCCUCUGGACAUCACCAAGCGCUUUGUGGAGGCCAGCCAGCUUCUCCAUCUCAAUGCCAAGGAGAUGGCCUUUGACUGCCUGAUUGGCACUGUCGGAAAAAGCUGCUUUAGUUCAGCACAGCUGGGGAAAGACUCCCCCAUGAACAUCUCUGCCAUGGGAGUGAACACACCUUACCAGCUGGUCUACCAGACUUCCACAGCCUGUCUGAGCUUCUCCCUCUCCACAGGAAAGGAAGGCAAGAAGAAAGACACUGGAGGCAAAAAGGCUAUAGAUGAGUUCAUGCCCCCACUCCCACUCCCACGAGCCCGAACCCCUCCUGAAAGCACUAUCGUUGAGUUCCAGGACCCCUGCCCUGAGGCCCGGGAAAAGCUGCAGGAUAUGUGUCGUCACAUAGAAGCCGAAAAGAUCUUGUGGAAAGGGAGGAAUGUCUCCUGUCCCAUGAUUUUACGCAACUACAGGUCAAAGAUACCCUCUCAUUUAUUGUUGACCUCCAAGGGGGACCCUCACCAACCUCCCACUGCGGGGACUCAGGUUACUGCUUCCACUCCUAACCAGCCUUCCAGCCACCAUGCUCAUACGGGUCGCCAUUCUCAAGAGUGGAAGGGGCCCAAGAAGCCAAUCAAGCUGCAUUACACUUUCUACGAUGGCUCUUCCUUCAUUUACUAUCCCUCUGGAAACAUCGCCAUACUUCAGAUUCCCACGUGCUGCAGAGGGAAACCCAUCACCUGCCUCUUUAAUGACACGCCUAACACCUUCCUGGCUCUGUUCAAUGCUGAUGGCCAAGGCUGUGUUUACUACAACCUAAAGAACUGCUGUCCAUAUGUCUUGGUUUUGGAUGAGGAAGGUGGAAUCACAAAUGACCAAAAGGGCUGCAUAGUCCAUAAGUGGAGCUGGACUAACAAGACUGAAACAUUACUCUCUCUGGAAUACAAGGUGAAUGAACAAAUGAAGCUAACAGUCUUGGGGCCGGACUCCAUCACUGUCACCUUCACCUCCAUGAACGAGACGGUAACACUCAGUGUGUCACCCAAAAGCUGUCCCCAUGGCAUAGUGCAUGAUAAACGGCCAGUUCGCAGAAUCAGUACCAUGGAUGAAAAGAUGUUAAAGAUAAACAGAGCCCUGGUUGAGAUCAAGAAGCGGUUUCAGAAGACUGUGACUCAGUUUAUGAACUCUGUGUUGCUGGCAGCAGGUCUGUUUACCAUAGAAUAUCCCACCAUGAAGGAAGACACAGAAGCUAGUCGUGUCAAGUUGAAAUCUGGGUCUUAUCCUGAUCGGAGCCGUAAGUCAAGUUUCUACCAAGGAGAAACCCUUGUACGAUCCCAGUCAGCCCGACCAGAUUCCUUAAAUGAAGACACAUUGAAGGACGAGUCUAUACAAACACCCUUGAUCCCUGUUCGAAAGAAGAGUAACAAAGUCCAGGCCAAAGUGACACCAAGAGGGAAGCCGGGAGAAGUACGCAGCCCCACCAGAUGGGCCGCCUCACCCUAUGACUGCCCACUGGUGCUGCGGAGGCUCAUUCGCAAGGAAGACAUCCGGGCUGGCUGCAAGUGUAUUGUGAAGGCACCCCUGGUGUCUGACUUGGAACUAGAGCGCUUCCUGUCUGCACCCCGAGACCCCAACCAAGUGCUGGUAUUCGGGAUAAUGUCAAGCCAGAAUCCCAACAAUACUGCACAGCUGCAAUGGCUGCUGGACACACUGUAUAACCAUCGGCAGCAGGGCCGUUCAUCACCCUGCAACCAGUGCCGGCUUGACCCUUAUCGUCUGCUGCGGUAUGACAUAGACAGCCCCCUGCAGAAGGAUCCACCCCUAAUGGUGAAGAAGUUUGCUGUGGUGCAUGGGAUGGUUUUGAUGUUUGCUGGGGGGAAGCUCCUUUUUGGGGGCUGUCUCCUAAAUGGCUAUGGCUUCAGCAAGCAGAAUCUACUGAAACAGAUCUUCCGGGCUCGACAGGAUUGCAAGAUGGGCUACUUCCUGCCAGACAACUACAAAUUCAAGAGCUCAUUCACAUGGCCAGUGCCUUCCCCUGCCUCAUGCCCAUCCUGCUAAGAAAGAAGCUGACUCCCAGACAUUGGGAACUCCUUCCAUUCUCCCCCAGAGAGCUUCACACAAUCAGCCAGCGUUGCUGACAUAAGGAAAGUAAGGAAGACUUUUCUGAGUGUCCUGCUGCUGCUGACCUGGACCACAGCUCUCUGUGCCAGGCACUGUUCUUAGCUCUCACAGUUACGGACUUGCUCAUGCUUCCUAAGAGCACAAAGCUUCAAGUGUUCACCAUCCCCACGGCCAAGCACAGAGAAGCAGAAAACCCCUGUGGCCACUCAGUAGGACAAGAAGUCAAGCCCAGAGACUCCGACUGCACAUGUGCCCAAACCCACUGGCCAGGCCUGUGUGGACAGAGGGGCCAGCAUCUCCAUACUCUUCCAAGUCAUGGCCACAUUGGCUGCCACCAGAAAGCGAUGUCCAGAUUGAAGGUGGGUCUUCCCACCUCAAAAGAUGCAGAUUCAGAGUGGGUCUUCCCUGAGCCUUCAGAUCCCUUCAUCAGCACUAAGC